UGGAAAUUCUUCAACUACGUCGUCGCGUUCUUGAAAUUUCAAGAAGUUGGGUUUUCGAAAUUCCUCGAUGGUCAGAAUAAAUAUUCCAUUUAUUUUCUUCGACGUACCUAUCUUCGGGGUCUCUACAUUCGGAUUAUUAGCAAGUCCUGAAAUACCUGUUUAUGGGCUUUUCCUAUUUACAGAGUCUUUCUUUGAAAAAAAAAGAGAGAACCUUCGGUUCGGUUUGUGUUUCUAACAAUAACUUUGGAAUUUAGCUUGGCUGCCUGCGGGAUUGUUUCUUCAUUUUUUCAUAGAAUCUUUCCACUUCGACAACGUAACGUACCAAAGAAAAAUUGCAUUGGCCAAUAGUCAGACUUUCUUGAAGAUUUUGCCAUCCCUUUAUUCUUCAGACUUUCCUCCUUUACAGAAAAUCCUACUCGAACUUUGAUUCCAGUAAAGCUUCUUAUCUUAUAUUACAAUGGAGAUAGAUGCUCUAUCUGCUGUCAGCGUUAUCAUCGGAUCGUCCAAUAAAUAUUAAAUCCUCACUGAUGAUAUUUGUUAUAACGACACCUGACUUUAGCUGUUUCUUGCGAUAGAUCGGCAUUGCAAUCUCCGUUGUAAGAAAAUACUCAAACUUUUUUUAUACUCCGUUGCUAAUACAUAGAUACAAAUAUAGAAAAGUCACGUGACAUACUUUAGUUUUUUUUUGACUUCCUCCCUGCCCUCUUAAAACACGAUCUCUGCGCGUGAGUAACAUUGUUUGAUUCAAAUGUCAAGAAUGAAUUCAACGCUGUAUGGAAAAGACACGUGGACGAUAACCUGUAUCAAUAUUUGAAGUGCGAUCUAUGCCGAUAAUGAUGUUGAUUGUCAGUGAUCGACUGCUGGUUAUUUAUCCAAAAUAUUCCAUUGAGAUGUGUUAUUUCAGUUAGCGAUAGAAUUGACAUAUGGAGGUGAAGGUUUUGAAUUUUGAAUAAUAAUGAAAAAAUAAUAAUAAUAAUUCAGGCCAAAAUUGUUAUUGUGGAGGAGUGGAGGAGGCAGGGAAGAAAGAAGGGACUUUCGUAAUAGCAGCAAUCAUACAGCGAAGAGUUGUAAUCCGACUGGCAUGGAUGUACCCUGUGCUAACGAAACACCUGAAUUACCGCCGACGUCAACAUCGCUUAAGACAAAGAGACGCGUUCAUAAAAGAGACGGCUCGUGAGUGUUGCGCACGUUAGGAAAGUUACCAAAUGAAUUCGAAUAACCUGACAGUAACAAAAGUAAACACAGUGUUUAGUCUCGUUGGCUUUAAAGCUUUCGUAUUAGUAAAGAGAAACAGAUAGAGCGAGCGAAAGAAAAAAUUCCUAUUGAUCGAGCGUGAGCAUCAAGGCGUACUGGUCGUAGAAAAUAGAAGCGGGUACGUCAGUAGGUAACCUAAAAUUCCACGAUUACGCAGUAUAACGAUUCUAUUAAAAGAAAACUUUAAAAAGGGGUUAGAACCGGUAUCAGACCAUGGCCAUCGACCGUAUUGCCCUCUUGUUCUGUCGUUAUACAAAAAUUUUAAGUUAGCCAAGCGUGUAUGUCAUCAUUCCUAUAACCUCAAAAAGCAAAGCAGGACAAACAUUUGCUUGUAUCACGAAACUGAGCCUCCGUUGCAAACGUCUUGCUACUAAUUAUGCAAAUAAUAUCCUGAAGGAUAUGCUCUUGCAAAUGGUGGUCUGACCUGAGUUUCUCACUGAGCCGUCACUAAGAGAAUGUUCGUUACGAUCAACAAGGAAGCACGUGACACAAUAUAACGAAGCACGAAAGACGGUGUACAAUGAAAGCAACGAGACUUUUCGAAAAACACCAAGAAAACAAUUGUGAGAAUUAUAUGAAUAUACGUGUCACAAAAGAUUCUCCCGAGGUUGUCAAAACACUGCAUAUCUGACACUUCGGCGAUGUCGGCAAGGCUGGGAUUCUCAGCUCUGCGUCUUGUUCGAUUCAUGGCAAAGAGGCAAUAUGAAGAGAGACCUACUUUUUAAGGGCAACGACUUGAAGUAGGACAUAAAUACAUACGUGUUUACGAGCUGAGAUUCGGCCAUGUUGAUCCGCUUCGUCUGGUUAGAGUCUGCGUGCUGAAACGACGAUGGUAGCAGUGUGGACUGAAGCUAAUACUUCCAACAAGUUCUCGCUGCUUUCACGACUCAGCCGGUGUGCUAUCGACAAUACAGACAUACUACAAAUACUUCAGUAUAUAUGAACGUAAAGGCCAGCGCAUAUAAAGAGGAUGUAUGUAUGUACAAUCUAUGGUAGUCCUCCUGGGUCACGUGAGAAUCUCACCGAACGCACUUCGUUUGCCAACGAUGUCUGUAUUGUUUCAAUGCAACUGGGCCGACAUAUUCUAUAUACUG